UACGAAGGGUGCUAGCGUUGUUCGGAAUCACUGGGCGUAAAGCGCGCGUAGGCGGCUUUUCAAGUCAGGGGUGAAAUGCCAAGGCUUAACCUUGGAACUGCCUUUGAAACUGUAAAGCUGGAGUGUCGGAGGGGAUGGCGGAAUUCCUAAUGUAGUGGUGAAAUACGUAGAUAUUAGGAGGAACACCGGUGGCGAAGGCGGCCAUCUGGACGACAACUGACGCUGAGGCGCGAAAGCGUGGGGAUCAAACAGG
rnacentral:rRNA from 1 species